rnacentral:rRNA from 1 species
UCAGACAUGCAAGUCGAACGAUUAAACUUCCCUUCGGGGAAGAUAUAAAGUGGCGCACGGGUGAGUAACACGUAAGUAAUCUACCUUCGAGUGGGGAAUAACAGUCGGAAACGGCUGCUAAUACCGCAUAAUGCAGCGGCACCUAAUGGUGACAGUUGUUAAAGGAGCAAUUCGCUUGAAGAGGAGCUUGCGGCAGAUUAGCUAGUUGGUAAGGUAACGGCUUACCAAGGCUACGAUCUGUAACCGGUCUAAGAGGACGGUCGGUCACACUGACACUGAAUAACGGGUCAGACUCCUACGGGAGGCAGCAGUCGGGAAUUUUGGGCAAUGGGCGAAAGCCUGACCCAGCAACGCCGCGUGAAGGAUGAAGUAUUUCGGUAUGUAAACUUCGAAAGAAUGGGAAGAAUCAAUGACGGUACCAUUUAUAAGGUCCGGCUAACUACGUGCCAGCAGCCGCGGUAAUACGUAGGGACCAAGCGUUGUUCGGAUUUACUGGGCGUAAAGGGCGCGUAGGCGGCAAUUCAAGUCAUCUGUGAAAUCUCCGGGCUUAACCCGGAACGGUCAGAUGAUACUGCUUUGCUAGAGUGCGGAAGGGGCAAUCGGAAUUCUCGGUGUAGCGGUGAAAUGCGUAGAUAUCGAGAGGAACACCAGAGGUGAAGACGGGUUGCUGGGCCGACACUGACGCUGACAGCGCGAAAGCCAGGGGAGCAAACGGGAUUAGAUACCCCGGUAGUCCUGGCCCUAAACGAUGAAUACUUGGUGUCUGGAGUUAUUAGUGCUCCGGGUGCCGUCGCUAACGUUUUUAGUAUUCCGCCUGGGGAGUACGCUCGCAAGAGUGAAACUCAAAGGAAUUGACGGGGACCCGCACAAGCGGUGGAGCAUGUGGUUUAAUUCGACGCAACGCGA